UACGUAGGGACCAAGCGUUGUUCGGAUUUGCUGGGCGUAAAGGGCGCGUAGGCGGCAUGACAAGUCACUUGUGAAAUCUCCGGGCUUAACUCGGAACGGUCAAGUGAUACUGUCGCGCUAGAGUGCGGAAGGGGCAAUCAGAAUUCUUGGUGUAGCGGUGAAAUGCGUAGAUAUCAAGAGGAAUACCUGAGGUGAAGACGGGUUGCUAGGCCGACACUGACGCUGAAGCGCGAAAGCCAGGGGAGCAAACGGG
rnacentral:rRNA from 1 species